CAAGACCUCGCGCUCUUGGAGCGGCCGAUGUCGGAUUAGCUAGUUGGUGAGGUAAAAGCUCACCAAGGCGACGAUCCGUAGCAGGUCUGAGAGGAUGAUCUGCCACACUGGGACUGAGACACGGCCCAGACUCCUACGGGAGGCAGCAGUGGGGAAUUUUGGACAAUGGGGGCAACCCUGAUCCAGCCAUGCCGCGUGAGUGAAGAAGGCCUUCGGGUUGUAAAGCUCUUUCGGCGGGGAAGAAAUGGCAACGGCUAAUAUCCGUUGUUGAUGACGGUACCCGCAUAAGAAGCACCGGCUAACUACGUGCCAGCAGCCGCGGUAAUACGUAGGGUGCGAGCGUUAAUCGGAAUUACUGGGCGUAAAGCGUGCGCAGGCGGUUUCGUAAGACAGACGUGAAAUCCCCGGGCUCAACCUGGGAACU
rnacentral:rRNA from 1 species